rnacentral:rRNA from 1 species
CAAUAGCGUUAUUAAAGUUGUUGCGGUUAAAAGCUCGUAGUUGGAUUUCUGUCGAAGGCGGCCGGUCCGCACUAUGUGCGUGCAUCUGGUUCGGUUUUGGCAUCCUCUUGGGGAACGUUUCUGUGCUUGAUUGCAUGGGGCGGAAUUCAAGACUUUUACUUUGAGGAAAUUAGAGUGUUCACGGCAAGCUAUCGCUUUGAAUACAUUAGCAUGGAAUAAUAAUAUAGGGCGUGAGUUCUAUUUUGUUGGUUUCUAGGACAUACGCAAUGAUUAAUAGGGACAAUUGGGGGGCAUUCGUAUUAACGCGUCAGAGGUGGAAUUCUUAGAUUGCGUUACGACGAACUACUGCGAAAGCAUUUGCCAAGAGUGUUUUCAUUAAUCAAGAACGAAAGUUAGAGGAUCGAAGACGAUCAGAU